rnacentral:lncRNA from 1 species
AAAAGCAGCGAUUACCACCAACCACGAGAAACACAGGAGCCUGCCUUCCACUGUUUACCACUGGGCAGGAAGUCGUUUAUGGACCAGUCUCUUGCCCAGGCUAAACUCAGAAGUGGACACUGAGGGCCGGUUGUGGGUGCCACCAGGCAAGCUAGGGCAUCGGAGUUCAGCAGAGCUGGGUGGGAAUUCUGCUUCUCCCUCCACUACCUGGGUAACCCUGGGCAAGUCACUUAGCCUCUCCGAGCAUAAACUGGUUUGCUUGUAAUAUGCAAAUAAUAAGGGGUGGGGGAAAUUUUUUUUUUUUUUUUUGAGACAGAGUCUCGCUCUGUCACCCAGGCUGGAGUGCAGUGGCGUGAUCUCGGCUCAUUGCAACCUCCGCCUCCUGGGUUCAAGCAAUUCUCCUGCCUCAGCCUCCUGAGUAGCUGGGAUUACAGGCGCCCGCCACCACUCCCAGCUAAUUUUUGUAUUUUUAGUAGGGACGAGGUUUCACCAUGUUGGUCAGGCUGGUCUCAAACUCCUGACCUCGUGAUCUGCCCUCCUUGGCCUUCCAAAGUGCUGGGAUUACAGGCGUGAUGGAGAUGAUACUCCCUAAAUCACAAGGGUGUGGUGUGAAGAUGAAAUGGCUGCACGUGACAGAGGAGUUGGAGAACAGGAAGCAAGUGGAUUACUUGGAUGAACUGUGAUGGGCCCAAGAAGAACUAAGCCAAUCACUCCAGGGGGCGUUUUCCCAGGAUCCAGGCAGAGAGCUGAUUCCAGCAUCCACGUUGUAUCCCCCUCCCGCUGUGGCCGGGGUCUCCAAGAGCCGGGCACCCACUGCAGAGCUUCCAAGCCCAGGCCCAUUUGAACACAGGAGGACUUUUGAGGUUCAUUUAACCCCAAAAUCAGUGAUUCUACAUCUCAAGCUCAUAUUUUGAAGUGUUUACGGGUAAGUCAUAUGAUACUGGUCAUUUAUUUUUUAAAUAUUCUAGCCAAAAGUACAUGGUAGACAAAGUGAGAAUGUCAGAAUGUUGAUAAUUAGUGAAACUAGACGAAGAUACAUGAAAGUUUAAUUUUGAUUCUCACCUACUUUCAUGUGCAUUAGGAAACUUUCAUAAUAAGUUAAAGUAACAAAAUAGGCCAGACUCGGCUGCUCAUGCCUGCAAUCCCAGCACUUUGGGCGGCUAAGGCAGGCGGAUUACUUGAGGUCACGAGUUUGAAACCAGCCUGGCCAACGUGGUGAAACCCCAUCUCCCCUAGAAAAUAAAACAAAAAAAAAAAUUGUAGCUGGGCAUGGUGGCAGGCCCCUGUAAUCCCACCUACUCAGGAGGGUGAGGGAGGAGAAUCGCUUGAGCCUCAGAGGCAGAGGUUGCAGUGAGCCAAGAUUGCGCCAUUGCACUCCAGCCUGGGUGAGAGAGCGAGACUCCAUCUCUGAAUAAAUAAAGUAACAAAAUACAUUUCAGUCUCGAGCUCCAGUUCCCUGCCAGGAAGAGCUGAAGCUGAGCUCUGGCACCCCCUGCUUCUUCUCCCUCAUCCCUAAAACAUGUGGGGUACUGGGUGCCAAAGGAGAUCUGAAGAUGGCCACCACUCAGACCAGCAGUAGAGGCCAAGAAGGUGGUGAGAAAUUUUAAGGUAUUGUAGCAUAUGCUCUCCAGGGUGAGGACACAGGAUGCUGGGACCUAAGGAGGGAGAAGUUAACCCAGAGAGGGCCCAAGUCAGGGAGGACCUGACUGUGGUGACAGAGCCAGUCAUGCUAAUAAUAGGAGCAGUGGUUUUGCAAUCACAAAUAUUGGUCUGGGGGACUGCGGGCCCAAUGUGGUGGGAGUUUUAGAGCAGGGACCCCUCCACUGUACGUGGAUUCUUAUACUUGCUAAGUUGCACUGAAUUCUCAAUCAACCCAUUUGGAGGCUCUCACCAAGACAGGAGUCCCUUUGAAUUGGUAGGAUGUUAAAAGCUUCCUCCAGCCAUUGACCCUGGGUCCCAUUGGUAGAAAUCAGAUAAUAAAUCAGAUUUUCCAGGUAAUCCUCAGUUUAAUGUCCAUUCCCUCAUUCAAUCAAUUAUUCAAUUACAAAUCAUUUUUAAUAUGAUUUUAUGGUUCAGGAAUUCAGGCAGGGCUCAGAUGGGCAGUUCUUCUGCCCCACAUGGCAUUGGCUGAUAACAGGCUACCCCAAGGAAAUCACAGUGUAAUGGGAGAUGGGAAAUAGGUUAACACAAAGUUACUAUACUACAAGAAAAAUCUUCAAAUCUUCAAUCUUCAUUCUUCAUGGGUGUGAGUCUUCUCUGGUGGAGAAGAGAGUUCUUUGCUAAAUUAUAUUCCUGUGUUAGCCAGCCAAGCACACACGGAGUACAGCUGUCCCUUGCUAUUCAUGGCAGAUUGAUCCCAGACACUGCCACCCCCAGCCCUGUGAACACCAAAACCCAUGGAUGCUCAAGUCCUUGAUAUAAAAUGGUAUGGUAUUUGCACAUAACCUACACACAUCUUCCCAUAUACUUUAAAUCAUCACUAGAUUACUUAUAAUACCUAAUGCAAUGUAAAUGCUAUGUAAGUAGUUGCUACGCUGUAUUGCUUAGGGAAUAAUGACAAGAAAAAAAGGCUGUACAACUUCAGUACAAAUGCUAUCAUUCAUUUUUUUAUCUGAAUAUUAUGAUCCAUGAAUACAGAGGGCUGGCUGUAAAAAGAAUGUACAGUUUGGUACUUUACUCCUAGUUUAAGUCAUCUCUUUCGGCCCAUACAGGUUGCCUGGGGCAGGGCGGUGGUGAGUGUGUUGAGUCGGCCCUAUACCCUGUUCCACAAUGCCUGGUGUCCUUGGCACGUAGCUUGCAGGGCUGCUUCCAUGGAUGGCUGCCUCAUCCCCCACCCCUCCUUCAUGGCACCCUCUUUUCUCCAACUCCUUUUCCUCUGCUGAGUCCUACCUUUUCUUGCCAGACCAGGGAUUUGCCAAUUAUUCUGGAUGGGCACAGGGAAGGGGCCCUCAGAUCCUGCAGAGGGAGCAUCUGAAAGACAAUGAGACCCUGUACACAACCAAGCUGAGCCUCCUCGUUGGUGCAUGCAUGGAUCCAGGAAGAGCAGGUAUUUGGACCCAACGAGACAGGUUCAUCUUGGCAGUUUGUCUCCUGUGGUUGCUUUGUGCCUGCCCCGUAUCUAUCCACCCAACUUCUGGCAGCAAUCCCUCCAGGACCCACCUCUGUCUUCAUGGUUUGUGUGUUCUGAUCCUGCUCCUUGGCCCCAGAAUACACCCUCCACAUCUAAGCUAUGCAGUGCCUCAUCCCCACAGCUGCAGCGAUUGGUUUAGGAAUGGGAAAAUAAUCCAAUCAAAGUAAGAUUGUCUAAUAUCUGAUCCCGCUUACCCCGGAGCCAGAAGUCCCACCUUUCCAGGCUCCUCCAUGUUCCUUUCUGGAGCAAUGAGGAGGAAGGUUCAUUCCCUUCUCAGGGAACUUGCUGCGGUGUCCCAGUCCUGACUGUCCCCUCUCUACCCCUGCCUGUGGCUCUCCCGUCUCCUGGCAUUCUAACCUGCCACUGAAUUCUUCCCACGCCAAACGCAGGUUAGGAACCUAAGCUCGGAUGAAAUGCUGGCUUAGACCUCAUUGCUACUGAGAAGCAGAAACCACACUUUUUAGUUGGUAGAGGUGGAUGUGGAUUGGGGCCAUAAAGUUUCCUCAAUCAUUGAAUAAGGAUUUCAUUAUUUGGACUAACUAAAUACAUUAGAUUAUUUAUACUAACUAAAUAAAUUAGAUUUAUUUUUCGAAGUUUAAAAUCAUUUUCAAUAGUGACGAAAAAGGCUGUAGAUGAGAUGGGAGAAUCUUUCGACGCCAAAUUCUUCCCAUCUCCUGCCUAGUAUGUAUCACUACACCUUGCCCAGAGAGACUGUAGGGGUGCUCAGCAAAAACCAUGGCUGGUUGAUUCCCUGGAAAAAGGGGUGCUGUCCCAGGGAGCUCUGUGCCCUUCCUGCCAACACUGGGGUCUAGAGGAGGCAAGUUCCCCUCUGAAGGUGAGUAUGAUUCACUCAUUAAAACUAAGAAAUUUACAUUGGUAUGUUACUGUUAACUAACCUACAGACUUUUUUUAGAUUUCACCGUUCUUUACACUCUCGUCCUUUCCAAUUUCCGGGAUCCAAUGCAGGAUACCAGGUUGCAUUUUUGGAUGUGUCCAGUCUGUGAUCAUUUCUCAAUCUUUCCUCAUUUUCUCAUGACUUUUGACAUUUAUUUAUUUAUUUAUUGUGUGAGACUGAGUCUCACUCUGUUGCCUAGGCUGGAGUGCAGUGGCCCCAUCCUGGCUCACUACAAUCUCCACCUCCCGGGUUCAAAUGAUUCUCCUGCCUCAGCCUCCCAAGCAGCUGGGAUUACAGGCGCACACCACCACGCCUGGCUAAUUUGUAUUUUUAGUAGAGAUGGGGUUUCACCAUGUUAGCCAGGCUGGUCUCAAACUCCUGACUUCAGGUGAUCUGCCUGCCUCGGCCUCCCAAAGUGCUAGGAUUACAGGCGCAGGCCACCACGCCCAGCCUGACUUCUGACAUUAGAGUACAGGGAGGGAUUCUGUAGAAUGUCCCUCAAUUUGGGUGUGUCUGGUGUUUUGCCAUGAGACUGGGGUUAUGCUUCUGGGUGCCACACAGAGGUGAAAUGUCCUUCUCAUCACAUUAUUCGAGAGGUACAUGGUACCAAUGGGACUUAUCGCUGCUGAUGUUAACCUUGAUCUCUUGGUUCAGGUGGUGCCUGCCAGCUGUCUCCACUGUGGAGUUACUAUUUUUCCUUUUCCCCAUUUUAUUCAUCAGAAGCCAGUCACUAAGCGAGGUCAAACUCCAGGACAGGGGAAUUAAGUGCCACCUUCUGGAGAGGGAGCAUUCACAUUUAUUACUUGGGAUCCUUCUGUAAGGAAGAGCUGUUUCUCCUCUAAAAAACUCUUUAAUCCUUUUAAGCCUCAAUUUCUUAAUUGUGAAAUGGGGCUAAUACCUGUAUCCAACCAAGGGAGUAGUUAGAAGGUAACAUGAUAGGUGGAAAGCACUUAACAUAGGCAAAAUGUUAUUAUCAGGAAUGAUCGAGAGACCCAUCCAACUAUCUGAAGGAGUCACUUAACUCUACUGUACUGCAGCGCUGUAAAGUCUGCAUCUUUCACUGGGGGUAAAGGCCCCCAGUCCCUGAGACGGGCCAGUUUGGAGACAGGCUGGUUUUUUCUCUGUUCUCCUGAGAGCCCUUCAGAUGAGAAGGGAGGUCUGGAGACAGAAUGCCAAAAGCCCAUUAAAGGCACGGCCUUGCAUUUCAGAGAGGGAGCAGGUCUAGAGAAGAACCAGAGGAGCUCAGCUGAGAUAUGGUGUAUGGAUUGGAUUUUGGUAGAAGAUGGGAAGAACCAAACACCUGAGAAACCACUUUGAAGAUCGGGGUCAGAGUAAGGCCUAACACAUAGUUGGCUCCCAGUAAUUAUUGGUUGAUUGAACAGCUCAAAGAGCAACUCGACCAAGAACACUGGACUGGGAGUCCAGUUACUUGGAUCUUGCAUUCCUGAUUUAUUUUUAUUUUAUAUGUAUUUUUUCUAUUUUUUUGAGACGAAGUCUCACUCACUCUGUCGCCCAGGCUGGACUACAAUGGCACGAUCUCGGCUCACUGCAAACUCUGCCUCCCAGGUUCAAGCGAUUCUCCUGCCUCAGCCUCUCGAGUAGCUAGGAUUACAGGCAUGCACCACCACGCUGGCUAAUUUUUGUAUUUUUAGUAGAGACGGGGUUUUGCCAUGUUGGCCAUGCUGGUGUCCACCUCCUGACCUCAGUUGAUCUUCCUGCCUCAGCCUUCCAAAAUGUUGGGAUUACAGGCGUGAGCCACCGUGCCUGGCCGUGAUUUAUUUUUUUUGUGUAUGUUUGUUUUUGUCAACUUGCUGUGUGACCUUAAGCAAGUUACUUAACUUCUCUGGGCUUCACUUUCCAUGGAUGAACAUUGUAAAGAGGCUGGAGAGAGAUGAGGACUAGGUACAGGCUUUAGAGGAGAGCCACCGCCCCGGACUUCUCCCUCUGUCACCCCGCUUUCCAUGACCCUCCUUGCCUGACUUUGUGACUCCUUGCCUCGCUAUCAAAACAAGUGCUGCAAUCUCAGUGCUUUCCAAGAGCCCUGCAUUGUUAGAAACUUCCCAGCACGCAGCAAAGGCUGCUGCAAUACUCGCUCUGCCUGCCUUUGCCCUGCGCUUCCUACUUACCCUCCUUUUGUUUCUCCCAAACAUCUGUCCCUGACUAUGCUCAUCUCAUGUUUGUCCUCAGCUGCUGAAAGGGCCACGUUUGUUUUCAUUACAAAUAAGACCACCGAGUGGGCUCCUGGCGUGGGGGCGGGACCAGCCGCGCGCAGUCUUCAGAGGCAGCCCCCCAGGCUGUCUCUGGAGGGUGUGUCUCUGCUUCCCUUUCCCCGUGUUUAUUUUCAGACGAAGCCAAGUGGCCCGGGGGGACCCUCCGGACUCCCAGCCUUCAGAGAGGAGGGCAGCUCGGGCUUUCGCCGCAGUGCUUCCUGCCCGUCACGUGUGUGCUCCUAGCCGGGGUCGGGGGAGCUGGUAUCUUGGCCCUUCUGGGAGGACGCGCACAGCCCGAGGAGGCAGAGCCCCAGACGGGAAUGGGCUUUUCAGAGGUGGGGUGCGGGCGAGGGGACGAUGCAUUAUUUUUAAUAUUUGAUUUAUUUUUCCAACUGGACUUCUUCCCGGGGCUCUUUCUGGGCCCAGCUGCCUUUGUGAUCCCGCGCCCCGGUCCUCGGCCUCUCACCUCCAGCGCCGGGGCGCCCCCUGCUGUCGGAAGCGGCUGUGACCGGGCAGAGGUGCUAUCUGGGACUCUGGGUUCUCAGCCCGGGGACAGCGAACCGAGGGGCAGAUGAUCCAUCAGAAAAGAGCCGGCACUGCCCAGCCCCGCGCCCCUGCCCCUGCCUUUUUCCGGGAGCGCGCCGCGCCGCACCCGCUACGGCCGCUUGACCCCAUCUUUGAGCCCGGCCCCAAGCUCUGGGACCGUCGUGCCCCUCAUCAAGGAAGAGCCAAGGACCCCAAGGAGAAGAGAAAGGAGUUCAUGAAGGCAGAAAUGCCUGGGGCCCACGAACAUCCCAGUGUGGCCCUGGACGGGACAUCAUGCUGGGCAACACAGCUAAAAUGCGGGUGAAGACCAGAUUUCUUGCACAUGGCGGUGACGGGAUGCUCCCUAGAGAGCUUCAAGUGGAUUCUUUGCUUUUUAUUUUCUCUCUUAAUAAAAAUGUAUGAUGUUUACAUUGUCAGAGAACAAACAGAACUGUGGCUUGUGUUUCAUGUCUUACGAAAUGGGUCUUGUGUACUUUUGGCUGUUCUUUCAUGUUCUUAGCAGUUAUAGAUUUGGCCCCUCUGGAAUGGAGGGGCCAUAUAUCAGGGGGUUUGGGGCAGGGGACACGGCCCUCUGUUCACCCUGCCCUCCCUGAUAGGUUGAUUUAUCUCCCUGCAAUCCCUUAUUCGCCUUCCGGGCUGGUCUCCUUCCCAGUCCGAGAUCUGCCCCCAAGGCUUUGUUUGGCACCGCCCCACCCCUGCCUUCCCCAGUAGUCUUUCUACAGAUCACCCCUUCCCAUGUGUCCUCAGCGCACCCCUGCCUUCCCCAAUAGUCUUUCUACAGAUCACCCCUUCCCAUGUGUCCUCAGCGCACCCCUGCCUUCCCCAGUAGUCUUUCUACAGAUCACCCCUUCCCAUGUGUCCUCAGCGCACCCCUGCCUUCCCCAAUAGUCUUUCUACAGAUCACCCCUUCCCAUGUGUCCUCAACGCUGGCCUUCUCAGGAGUUCUAGCACCCGUCUCCACUGCUUUAGCCUGCUAAGACUGCCAUAACAAACCACCACAGCUUGGGGGAUUCAACCACAGAAAUGUGUAUGCUCAUAAUUCUGGAGACCAGAAGUCUGAGAUCAAGGUGUCCACAGUGCUGAUUUCUUCUGAGGCCCGUCUCCUUGGUUUGUCAAGAGCCUCUUCUCCCUGUGUCUUCACAGGGUCUUCCCUCUACGCCUGUCAGUGUCCUGAUCUCCU